UCAGGAUUAACGCUGGCGGCAUGCCUAAUACAUGCAAGUCGAAUGGAAGAGCUUGCUUUCCAUGGCGAACGGGUGAGUAACACGUAGGUAACCUACCUUAAGGACGAGGAUAACCUUUGGAAACGAAGGAUAAUACUGGAUAGGACAUCAUAAAACACAUGUUUAGAUGUUUAAAGGAGCAAUCCACCAUAAGAGGGGCCUGCGGCGCAUUAGCUAGUUGGUAAGGUAAAGGCCUACCAAGGCGAUGAUGCGUAGCCGGACUGAGAGGUUGAACGGCCACAAUGGGACUGAGAACGGCCCAUACUCCUACGGGAGGCAGCAGUAGGGAAUUUUCGGCAAUGGACAAAAGUCUGACCGAGCAAUGCCCGCGUGAUCGAAGAAGUAUUUCGGUAUGUAAAGAUCUUUUAUCAGGGAAGAGAAGACAGAUUGACUGAACCUGAUGAAUAAGCUCCGGCUAACUACGUGCCAGCCGCGGC
rnacentral:rRNA from 1 species